UACAGAGGUCCCAAGCGUUGUUCGGAUUCACUGGGCGUAAAGGGUGCGUAGGUGGCAGGGUAAGUUUGAUGUGAAAUCUCCGAGCUUAACUCGGAAACUGCAUUGAAUACUAUCCUGCUCGAGGUUUGGAAGGGGGACUGGAAUUCUCGGUGUAGCAGUGAAAUGCGUAGAUAUCGAGAGGAACACCAGUGGCGAAGGCGAGUCCCUGGACAACACCUGACACUGAGGCACGAAAGCUAGGGGAGCAAACGGG
rnacentral:rRNA from 1 species